rnacentral:rRNA from 1 species
CAUCUCGUCUCGUCAGAACGUCUAUUCCUUUCGAGACCAAGACGCGUGUUCGAGGUUGGUUUAAGGCUGAGGAGACGCGUCUGGUUAGUGGUUACGGACCCGGAGGAAGGUGGUACAGGGACGGCUCCGGCUCGUCCACGAUGGCGACGACGAGCAGCAGCUGCGGCGGCGGCGGCUUCGUCGCUCGGCGCCUCUCGUUCGCCGCCGGAUAGGCGCCUCGCGCCGACGACGACUGGGCCUCCCGCGACCGCCCGCGACACCGCUGCCACUGCAACCGCCACCGCCCGGCACGGUCCCGCCGCCUCCUCCCGCCGCUCCCCCACCACCCGCGCAAGUUCAGCGACAAGCUGGGCUUGCUCCUCUGGUUCCGGCCCUUCCACGACGGGUUCCGCAUGGACUUCCGCCGCGCCCUCCACCACGCCUGCGAGGCCCUCAGCGACCCCCUCCCGCUGCGGCGGCCGCUGAGCCGGUCGAAGGCGUCCCCGCGGCUGAGGCGGUUCUGCAGGUAGGCUCUCAAGGAGCCGCCGACCUCUCCGGUCGGGCGGCAGCGGUUUCUCCUCAGCAUACACCGCGACCUCUUCCGGUAGUUUAGCGACCGCCUCAAGAUGAGGUUCCGUCCCGGGAAGCGGAGCGAAGGCCCUCUACAGUUUUUGUUCUAGGAGCUGCUGGAGUUGCGGCGUCUCCGGAUGGAGAUCCAGAGAAACGAAUCGCCGUAACAUAAAAGGCCGCAUUUAAGCAAUAUGAACACAGGAAAACAACGCUGCAAUACUACUCAUUUAUUAUUAACUGUACCUAGGGGUAAAGAGAGAACUAAGUUGCCUCCGCUUAUACCCGUGGUCCCAUCAUCUACGUAACCUCUCCACGACCUAGAAGUCAAGAUAAGAUUCAAAGGG